rnacentral:rRNA from 1 species
AUUGAACGCUGGCGGCAUGCUUUACACAUGCAAGUCGAACGGUAACAGGCCUUCGGGUGCUGACGAGUGGCGGACGGGUGAGUAAUGCAUCGGAACGUACCCAGAGGUGGGGGAUAACGCAGCGAAAGCUGUGCUAAUACCGCAUGUGAUCUGAGGCUGACAGCGGGGGACCGCGCAGCAAUGUUUGGCCUCGCGCCUUUGGAGCGGCCGAUGUCGGAUUAGCUAGUUGGUGGGGUAAAGGCCUACCAAGGCGACGAUCCGUAGCUGGUCUGAGAGGACGACCAGCCACACUGGGACUGAGACACGGCCCAGACUCCUACGGGAGGCAGCAGUGGGGAAUUUUGGACAAUGGGCGCAAGCCUGAUCCAGCAAUGCCGCGUGCGGGAAGAAGGCCUUCGGGUUGUAAACCGCUUUUGGCAGGAACGAAACGGUGUCCGCUAAUACCGGGCGCUAAUGACGGUACCUGAAGAAUAAGCACCGGCUAACUACGUG